AGCUGUGGGGGGGACUGAGGGGGAGAAAUGGGGUCAUGGCAAGGUAAGGAAUGGGGAUAUGGGACCCCGGCGGUGAGAGGCAUCAGGGCAAUGGGGAUGAACCACUGCCCCCCCAGGAAAGUUUGGGAUCCCUUCUCUGUUGGGUGAGUUGUUCCCUCCCCCCAGGCCAUGGCACAGGGUGGGAGCCUGCCUGCAGCCUCCCCCAAGGAAGGGAUCAUGGUGUAUUGGGGGGUGCCCCUACUUUUGCAGCACAGGGCACCCCAAUUCCCCACCUGUGGCCACGGAGAGCAGUUUGGGGGGGCCUUGACUGGAGGGGGGCUCAGUCCCUGAUCUGCAGGGUACCCCUCGGUCACUGGGCAGGGCAGUGUGUGCUUUGUCUGCACAGAGAGAUGCCCACACCUUGUUUCCUAGGUCCCAGGUAGGGCAGCUCCGGGGGGGUGCUCAGCGGUACCCCCCAUGCUGUGGGGAGCGGUGACAGGCGGCCAGGGGUGCUGCUUUCUGCUGGCGAGGGGAUGGGUGUGUACGACUGGAAUGUAUUGAAUAAGCUAUUGUACGUGGAGAAAUACAGGCUGGGCUUCACCAUG